rnacentral:rRNA from 1 species
AUUGAACGCUGGCGGCAGGCCUAACACAUGCAAGUCGAGCGGAAGAAGGGUGCUUGCUUCUGGUUUCGGCGGCGGACUGGCGGGUAAUUCCUAGGAAUAUGCCUGGCAGCGGUUUAUAACGUGCGGAAAUGGGCGAUAAUACCCCAUACCCCCUGAGGGCGAACGUGGGGGAUCAUCGGACCUUACGCUAUCAGGUGAUUCGAGGUCGGAUUAGCUAGUUGGCGGGGUAAAGGCCUACCAAGGCGACGAUCCGUAGCUGGUCUGAGAGGAUGAUCAGCCACACUGGAACUGAGACACGGUCCAGACUCCUACGGGAGGCAGCAGUGGGGAAUAUUGGACAAUGGGCGCAAGCCUGAUCCAGCCAUGCCGCGUGGGUGAAGAAGGUCUUCGGGUUGUAAAGCACUUUUAGUUGGGAAGAAGAGCAGUAGGUUAAUACCUCGCUGUUUUGACGGUACCAAAAGAAUAAGCACCGGCUAACUUCGUG